AUGCCAGCCAGGGGAUGGCUCGGCUCAAGUGCUGAAGAAGGACGUGCCAAGCUGCGAUAAGCCUCGGCGAGGCGCAUGGAGCCAUUGAACCGAGGAUGUCCUAAUGGGAAAUCCUAAGUCUAAGACUUGAUCCUCAAGGAUCGGGAACGUCCCGGAUUGAAACAUCUUAGUAGGGACAGGAAGAGAAAUCAACCGAGAUACCGUCAGUAACGGCGAGUGAACGCGGUACAGCCUAAACCGAAUCCUGCAAGGGAGAUGUGGUGUUAUAAGCAGGUCUAAACGUUUUGAUCUGGAAGUCGAAGUGGCCUGGAAUGGCCUGCCAUAGAGUGUGAGAGCCACGUAGUCGUAACGGAUCAAUACCGAGACCAUGACUUGAGUACCGUGCGUCGGAAAUCGCGCGGGAAUUUGGGGGUCACCAACCUCCAAGGCUAAAUACAACUUGAGACCGAUAGCGUAGUAGUAGUGUGAACGAAAGCUGAAAAGUACCCCAAAUAGGGAGGUGCAAAGAGCCUGAAAUUGGCUGGCAAUAGUGCGUUAGGGCGCCAAAGGAUCUUUCUUUCGAAGGAAACGGUGGCAACGCCGCAGUACGAGAGAGACUGCCAGCGUUCUAACAUGCGUUUUGAAGAACGAACCAGGGAGUGCAUAUUGGCGGCGAGGCUAAUUCUUUCACAGAGGAAGCCGUAGCGAAAGCGACAAGCGCGCAUGAGAAGAGGCGCGACGUAUACAAGUGCGUGCAGUCGCCCGUAUGCGACCCGAAGCCGGGCGAUCUAGGCGUAGGUAGGUCGAAGCGUGGCGAAAGCUGCGUGGAGGACCGUUUGAGGUGUUGAUAUGCAAAUCGCUCUCGUGACCCGCGUCUAGGGGUGAAAGUCCAAUCGAGGUCGGAAAUAGCUGGUUCCUCCCGAAACAUAUCGCAGUAUGACCUGGUCUGAGAUAGUCGGCGGAGUAGAGCACUGAUUGGGGAAGCCGGACUCGAAAGAGUCUGUUCUCUUGUCAAACUCCAAAACCGCCGUCGUCGUAGACGACCAGCAGUCCGGGCUGGGGGGUAAGCUUCUAGUCCGUGAGGGAGACAACCCUGACCGUGGUUAAGGUCCCCAAAUAUCGGCCAAGUGUCAACACUUAAGGGAGUCCUGGGUCAUAAACAACUGGGAGGUUAGCUUAGAAGCAGCUAUCCUUUAAAGAGUGCGUAACAGCUCACCAGUCGAGAUUCAGGGCCCCGAAAAUGGACGGGGCUAAGCCGAUUACCGAUACCACGGAGCACCGCAAGGUGAUCUAGUAGGGAGGCGCUCUGCGUGGGCAGAAGCAUCUGCGUGAGCAGGUGUGGACCGCGUAGAGACGAAAAUCCUGGUAGCAGUAGCAGCAAAAUCGGGUGAGAAUCCCGAUCGCCGUAAGGGCCAGGGUUCCUCGGCAAUGUUCGUCAGCCGAGGGUCAGUCGGUCCUAAGACGUACCUUAAUCGGAGUACGCCAAAUGGGAAACAGGUUAAUAUUCCUGUACCUUUCAACAUUAAAACUGACGCUUCCGGAUAUGUCAAGCGUCCUUGCCUGGGCGUUCAAUCGUAUAAUCCUGCGGAGAGCCGUAAUGGCGAGAACCAGGAGAAAGCGUGAUGACGUAAGUAGGCAAAUUCCAGGAGUCCGUGAAAAGGGAGUUGAAAGUCCGUACCGAGAUCCAACACUGGUGCCCCAAGCUGAGAAGGCUAAGGCGUUUCGGCAUAUGCUAGCUAAGGGAAUUCGGCAAAUUAGCCACGUAACUUCGGGAUAAGUGGUGCCUGCUUUGCAAAAAGCAGGUCGCAGUGACGAGGGGACUCUAACUGUCUAAUAACAACAUAGGUGAUUGCGAAUCCGUAAGGACUAGUACAAUCACUGAAUCCUGCCCAGUGCAGGUACCUGAAAACCCGGUUCAACGGGAGGAAGGGCCUGUCAACGGCGGGGGUAACUAUGACCCUCUUAAGGUAGCGUAGUACCUUGCCGCUUAAUUGGCGGCUUGCAUGAAUGGUGUAACGAGAGCCCUACUGUCCCUAACUGGAACCUAGUGAAACCACUUCCUGGUGGAUAUGCCAGGGUCCCCCGAUGGGAAG
rnacentral:rRNA from 1 species